AUGAAAUCUUGCACCGUCUCACCCGGGACAUGAACCCUGCUUUGUCCAGUGUGGCCACACCGUACACACCGCCUGCCAUCAGUCACUUAGUACCUGGCUUGGUUAUCAGGUCAACUGUCAAGUAGCAGAGGGCUUGAGCUCGAGGCCAAUAAUAGCCAAGUGCUAUGUCACGAUGCCUGCAUCAUCCGCCUCACUUCUCGUCACGUAGGCGUUUUAUCAUCUUACAUCAUCACAAGAAGAAGGGUGCAUACAGCAUGAACAUGGUUUCAUUGGAUAUUCACCCGAACUGCUACAGAACAACACGCUGCCCGAUUACAGCCCGGGGGAAUCUUUUUUCACUGUCUUUGGGGUUUUCUUCCCAGCGGCUACAGGUAUCCCUCAUGGGCUUCCUGUUCCUUUUGGGCUUAUACAUCUCGUCCCUGGCUUCCUGCAUGGGAGGACUUUAUGGAGCUCCCCGCAUCCUGCAGUGCAUUGCCCAGGAGAAAGUGAUCCCUGCACUUGCCUGUCUGGGACAAGGGAAGGGGCCAAACAAAACACCCGUGGCUGCCAUCUGCCUGACCAGCUUGGUGACCAUGG
rnacentral:lncRNA from 1 species